GUCUUGCUUCAGAAGAGGAGCCCCAGCAAGCCUACCUCAGCCUACCUCUUGCUCUCUUUCACAGUUAAUUCACCCAAAGGAGGUUUACAUGAAUUGCCCCUUUGGAAGCAACCUGCAGCUGCCCAUCUCUGCCAGGAACAAUUAGGUUAGUUUAAUUCAGGGGUGAAGCAUCAGGAAACCCAUUGUGGCUUCAUGUCUGCCAUGAUCUCCAAUACAGUCUAUAUUAACUGUCAAAAUAACAUCAUGACCCCCAUUAUCUGAGGAUCCCUGUGUCAAACUUUCAGCUGAUUCUUAACUGAAAGGGGUGUUAUUCAUUACCUACCCUCAAAUCCAAAUAACUACAAAGAAAAAUAUAUAGGUACUUUUGAGAGAAUGUAAAAGGGGAAAUCUAAUUCAGGUAGGAGUAUGGAAGUCACAGGCAAUCUCUGUAAGUACCACUUAUGCUAAAUUCAAUGAAAGAAAUCAGCGGAAGAAUAGGGAAGAGGGGAAGGACUCAUAUAAGGGUUCUGAGGCAACAGAUAGUUUGUCAUGUUUGGGGAACCAAGAAAAGCCAGUGUGGGAGUCUUUAGAAUGGUCACCAAAUACUUCCAGAUCUCUGCCUUCCAGGCAAAUAGGAUUGCAUUUCUUGGCCCCUUGUGGCUGGGAGGGGCUGAGGACUAGGUUUAGCCAAUUAAUUGUGAGAAGUGACAUGUGGCCAUUUAAAACAAAGACACUUAAUGGCCCAGGUAAGACCCUUUAAAGCUCUCUUUUCCUCUACCAUGAGAUCUGUUACCUUACCAAAAGUGGGUGCUCCAUUAGUCUGGAUCCCAGAGGAACAUGGCACAGAGACCUUCCCAACCUUGAUAGAUAUGUAGCAGAAGCAAGAAACACCAUUCUCACCCUCCUUCUGUUUGUUUUUUAUCAUAAGUCCCCAAAUCUGGGAACUGUUUUUUACAUAAUUUUAUCAUAAUUUAGGCGAUCCUCACUGAUCUAGCCAUAGCCAGUGUGGCUGGAGAAAACAAAG
rnacentral:lncRNA from 1 species